UACCAGCUCUCCGAGUGGUAGGGACGAUUAUUGGGCUUAAAGCGUCCGUAGCCGGCUUAGCAAGUCUCCUGUUAAAUUCAGCGACCUAAUCGUUGAGCCGCGGGAGAUACUACUAGGCUAGGAGGCGGGAGAGGUCGACGGUACUUCCGGGGUAGGGGUGAAAUCCUAUAAUCCCGGGAGGACCACCAGUGGCGAAGGCUGUCGACUAGAACGCGCUCGACGGUGAGGGACUAAAGCUGGGGGAGCGAACCGGAUUAGAUACCCGGGUAGUCCCAGCUGUAAACGAUGCGGGCUAGGUGUUGGGGUGGCUACGGGCCACUUCAGUGCCGCAGGGAAACCAUUAAGCCCGCCGCCUGGGGAGUACGGCCGCAAGGCUGAAACUUAAAGGAAUUGGCGGGGAGCACCACAAGGCGUGAAGCUUGCGGUUC
rnacentral:rRNA from 1 species